rnacentral:rRNA from 1 species
UGGGGAAUUUUGGACAAUGGGGGAAACCCUGAUCCAGCCAUCCCGCGUGUGCGAUGAAGGCCUUCGGGUUGUAAAGCACUUUUGGCAGGAAAGAAACGUCAUGGGUUAAUACCCCGUGAAACUGACGGUACCUGCAGAAUAAGCACCGGCUAACUACGUGCCAGCAGCCGCGGUAAUACGUAGGGUGCAAGCGUUAAUCGGAAUUACUGGGCGUACAGCGUGCGCAGGCGGUUCGGAAAGAAAGAUGUGAAAUCCCAGAGCUCAACUUUGGAACUACAUUUUUAACUACCGGGCUAGAGUGUGUCAGAGGGAGGUGGAAUUCCGCGUGUAGCAGUGAAAUGCGUAGAUAUGCGGAGGAACACCGAUGGCGAAGGCAGCCUCCUGAGAUAACACUGACGCUCAUGCACGAAAGCGUGGGGAGCAAACAGG